UAAAUAAUUUAUAUAGAAAAAAAUUACUAAUUUGUGAUUACAGUGUUAGAAAAUUUAAUUCUUAAUUAUCUGUUGUCUGCACUCUGCAGCCUAAAUUUUUAUUAUAUUUUAUGCAAUUAAUUUUAAUUAAAACUCAUAUUCGAGACUUUACAGCCUCAGUGGUUUAAUUAAUGCCAUAUUUUAUUUUAUUUUAUUUAUCAAUAGUCCUUUGAAUAGCAUAAAGAUAGUUGUUUGUAUAGUAAUUUUAAUGAAAGGGUAAUAUGGUGUUUUUAUUUAUAUUUUUAUGAAAAUAAUUAAACGAGAUAAAACUAUUUGAAUGCUAUUUUGAUUACUGUGCCACUAAUUCAUUUGUCGUUGUCAAGAUGAUAUAAAUUAAGGCAAUUUGGUGUCCAGUUUUCAUCAACUAGCUCCUUUUCUUUUUCCUUAUUUUAAUCGCCAAAAUAUUGGUAAGCAAUAUAGGAAUCAUAUUAUCUUGCUUUUCUUGUUAAGGUGAAAUAUCAUAAAAUCAAUAAGAUAAAAGAAGUAUUGACCAUAAAAUCAAUGUUGAGCCUUCUCAACGGUGACGGGAUUUAUACGGGAAAACCAAAGUAAAUUGCAUUGUGCACAAUUUUAAGGCUCUUCAUACUUAUUUUAAAAUUAGUUAAAGUUUUUUUUAUUAUUUUAAUUCACUCUCACAAUAUUUAAAUAAUAGUGGUUUAAUCAGUUUUAUUGAAUAGAACUUUAAUAUUAAUUAAAAUUUAUUUUAAUUAAAAAUUAUAAUUAAUAUAAUAUCUUUAAAUAAGCUUAGACUGUAAUCAUAAAUCGUGUUCAUCUUACAUAUUACAUCAAGAUUUUAUUUGAUUGGGGUAAGUAAAUUAUUUUUUAAAAAAUAUAAAAAAUCUCUUAAUUCAUAUUUUAAGUUAAUGACCCCUCUACGCAUUAAUCCAGACAAUUACAGGAGGCCGUUCUAGUACUCAAUGUUUUUUCGGUUAAAGAAAAAAAAAAGUAAAAACUGAAGUUAAUUGCAUUGAAUUUUAGGGCCCUAUUCGUAUUAAAACAAUAAAAUUAACUCCUAUAUUUGAAAAAAAAAAAGAAAGGAAAAUUAACUUGUGUACUGGAUCUUUUAUCUCCUUUUCCCAUUUAUAUUAGGUGAAUUGAAGGAUGUUGUUAUAUAAAUUAAAAUUUACUUUUAUUUUAAAAUUAAAAUUUUUGUAAGAAUUUAAUUAAAUUCUUUUCAUAUAAAAUUUUUAUUUAAAAUAAAAAAAUUAUAAAAUCAUGUGUAAUUUUAUAAAAAUUUAUUUAAAUAUUUUUUUAUAAAAUUAUUCAUAUCAAAUUAAAAAAAUAAAAGAAAGUAAAUUGCAUCUUGCAUAAUUUUUAGGGUACUCUUCAUAUUAGAAAAGAAAAUUUAGCUUGUGGACUAAAACCCUACAUUGUUUUGGAGGCAAUACAACAUAAGGUAUUAUAAAUCGUAGUUAUUUUAUUGUAUUAUUGUAAUAGUAAUUAGUUAAAAAUAAAGAAUAUAUAUUUUUAGAUUCACUCUAAUAGUGUUUUGACAAAUUUUAUAAAGAAAGAUUUAAUAUCAAUUAAAUUUCAGCUGAUGCGACUAAAGGAGGUCGCUGAGAUUAUCUCCCCCACUCUACUGGUCGAGCCAUCUCCCGUGCCCCAGCCUCUUCCCGUACUGUGGCAUCGAGCUCCAAGGGUUCUCGUUCGGGAGUUUCUAGAGCCUCUACUCGUAGGAGGUUUCACUCCUCCUCCCGAUCUCCCACGGCUCCUAAGUCAAAGCCAGCCUCAGUAUCGGCCUCCCAGGAGCUCAUUGCCAUUGAAGAAUCUGCUGAGGAGGUCCCGAAGGGAAAGGAUGAGGUCUUUCCCGCUACUAGGGGCGCUCCUCGAGAAAGCGACGAGGUUCCCUCGGUUGUUGGGGGUGCUUCUGAGGGUGGAGCCGAGGUUGUACCAGCCGGUGGGGGUAUCUCUGUGGUCAAGGCAAAGGCCAAAGCCAUCUCAGCUACUCCCCGCUCGAAGAAGAUCUCAGCCAGCAGCGGCGUCGUGGUCAAGGAGGCUUGAGCUUCUUCCUCGGAGGUUCCUGCUGAGGUUCCAGCCCCAAAGAAGGCUCGCGUGUCCGAGCGGCCUACCCCAGUUCUCCCUCCCACCGAGAAGGCAAAAACACCUGUGGAGCUGUUGUCUUUUGCCCUGGACAAUGAGGUUUUGAACGCGGAUGAGAUCACUCCUCAGCCCCCCGCGAGUCGUGUUGUCGAGCUAUUAAGGGAGAGGAUGUUUGGCGGGGUCACUGAGACUUCAGACCCACGCUUGCUUGCCCUUACCGGCCUCUUAGCCUGUUCUACUCGAGAGCAGGUGGCUUUUUGCUUCCGGACUCGAGAGGAGCUUGGGGAUACAGUCAGUGAGAUGCUUCUAAUGGUGACGGGUGUCUUCAUGGAGAUCGACGUCCGCGACUGGUCGCUCCAAAGCACCGUGGAUCGCCAGGUCGAGGAGGCCCGUCGCGAGGAAAAUCUCAUGGCUACGGGUGAUGCCCGGGGCUAGCUCGCCGCGACUCAGGGUUGCUUGAAGGACCUCGAGGAUGAGUUGGUUUGGACCCGGGAUGCUGUUAGGAGGGCCGACGAGAGGGCAGCUGUGGCAGAGUCCCGUUGUGAUGAAGUUUCAGCUUAGCUGUCCUCUCCGGAGGAGGCCCGGCUAGAGAGGGAUGAAGCCGUGGCCUAAAAGAACGAGGCUUGGCGUGAAUGCGAGGUAGUCAGAGCAGAUCGUGACAACGCCCAGGCCCAUUUCGAGACGGUAAAAUCCUAGAGGGAAGAGGCCCUAGCCCGGGUUGUUGUUCUCGAGCAGGAGCUCACCAAACGCACCGAAGAUCUAAAAGUCCUGACUCUGACUGCAGAGGGAUUAAAACUUCAAAACCAACAACUCUGUUAAGAGGUUAAGGUCUUAGAGGGGAGGUGUUUUGCCCUGCUCGAGGAUGCCAAGCUGACUGAAGACAAAGUCCAGUUGGCCUGUGAGGAGCGCCUUCAGGAAUACAAAGGAUCUACUGAACUAGCAGCCGAGAUCGAUCAAGCCUGCCAGAGAUGUCUGCGAGAGUAUAAGGAUUCUUCAGAGUUACAAACUGAAAUCAGGCAAGACUGUGAAGAUCAUCUCCAACAUUACAAGGACUCUCCUGAGCUGAAAGCUAAGAUUGAAGAGGCCUGUGAGGCACGGCUUGUGGAGUUCAAAGCUUCUGACACCAUGAAAAAUGAGCUUUGGCACAGAGCUUUCCGCAUGUUUGCCUCCGGGUUUAACUAGGGUCUGAAGGAGGCUAGGGAUGCCCCCUCCACCCCAUUAGCUCGGCUCCGAGCCCCUAAAGUAGAUUUCGAUGGGGAGGAAAUGCGCUAUGGGGAGGAUGAUAAUCCCUUGCCUAAGAAUACCUCUUCAUUGCCAGUUGGAUCUCGAGAAGGGGGGGAUGGGCCUCAAGGAUCUCUAGUGGAGAGCGAUGAUGACAAGCUGCCUGUAGGGGAUGACAGACUUCUCAGGAGUGACAGUGUGCUUAGUGUAGGUGAUAAUGUAGUUACUGAUGUUGAGCCCCUUAGCAUCAUUUUGCCAGAUGUAACUAAUAAUGAAUAAAUAAAGACUAUAGUUUCUUUCUUAUA